GCGUUGGGAGCUCUCCCAUAUGGUCGACCUGCAGGCGGCCGCGAAUUCACUAGUGAUUAGAGUUUGAUCCUGGCUCAGAACGAACGCUGGCGGCAUGCCUAAUACAUGCAAGUCGAACGAGACCUUCGGGUCUAGUGGCGCACGGGUGCGUAACGCGUGGGAAUCUGCCCUUGGGUUCGGAAUAACUUCGGGAAACUGAAGCUAAUACCGGAUGAUGACGAAAGUCCAAAGAUUUAUCGCCCAGGGAUGAGCCCGCGUAGGAUUAGCUAGUUGGUGGGGUAAAGGCUCACCAAGGCAACGAUCCUUAGCUGGUCUGAGAGGAUGAUCAGCCACACUGGGACUGAGACACGGCCCAGACUCCUACGGGAGGCAGCAGUAGGGAAUAUUGGACAAUGGGCGAAAGCCUGAUCCAGCAAUGCCGCGUGAGUGAUGAAGGCCUUAGGGUUGUAAAGCUCUUUUACCCGAGAUGAUAAUGACAGUAUCGGGAGAAUAAGCUCCGGCUAACUCCGUGCCAGCAGCCGCGGUAAUACGAAUCGAAUUCCCGCGGCCGCCAUGGCGGCCGGGAGCAUGCGACGUCGGGCCCA
rnacentral:rRNA from 1 species